rnacentral:rRNA from 1 species
AGCGAACGCUGGCGGCAGGCCUAACACAUGCCAGUCGAACGAACCUUUCGGGGUUAGUGGCGGACGGGGGAGUAACACGUGGGAACGUGCCUUUAGGUUCGGAAUAACUCAGGGAAACUUGUGCUAAUACCGAAUGUGCCCUUCGGGGGAAAGAUUUAUCGCCUUUAGAGGGGCCCGCGUCUGAUUAGCUAGUUGGUUGAGGUAAUGGCUCACCAAGGCGACGAUCAGUAGCUGGUCUGAGAGGAGGACCAGCCACAUUGGGACGGAGACACGGCCCAAACUCCUACGGGAGGCAGCAGUGGGGAAUCUUGCGCAAUGGGCGAAAGCCUGACGAAGCAAGGCCGCGUGAAUGAUGAAGGUCUUAGGAUUGUAAAAUUCUUUAACCGGGGACGAUAAUGACGGUACCCGGAGAAGAAGCCCCGGCUAACUUCGUG